rnacentral:pre_miRNA from 12 species
CUACAAGCUCCCUAACUCUGAGUUUCUCCUCAGGGUGCUACAGGCAAAGCUGGGGAUCCAGGGAGAGACGUAAGUGAGCAAAAUGCUGGAUGGA